rnacentral:misc_RNA from 1 species
AGUAGUAGAACCAGUAGCAGCUGCAUGCCCGGAUGGAGUGACUCAGGAAUGUCAACCCGAUGCCUUUUGAGUUGGCCGUUCAGGCAGUUCCGCCGACUGUAUAAAAAGAGACGACCUCGUCGCUUGUCCUCUUCUCUUUUCCUUCGGGCAUCGGCGACAACGUUAACGGACGACGUGUUAGACUUCACCGUGCACCAUGCCAAAGCUUUUUGCUGUCGUGACGUUUCCCGAAGAACAAGAUAAAGUGGCCGUUGUGCCACUCUCAUGGCUAACGGAAGACCGGGCCCAGUGCCACUGGCCACCAAAGAGGAGGGGUGUUCGGGUAGAAGACUUGCUUCGAGACCGGGUGGACCCAACUGCAGCCUGGCAAAAGUACCCAGUUUUUCUUGUGGCUCGUUGCAGCACUCUUGAGAAAGCCGAGCGCCGUGCCACUGGUGCACUGUACGGCCUAGCGGCAGACGCAACGGAGCAAUCAGCUGUGUUGCUACGGAUCCUGCGCGUCCAACUUGGCGUCCGGCAGCAACAAAGAGAGCUUCUGCAGGAAGUGCGACAGCUGAGGCACGAGUUACGGCUCUUGUCCGAGAGUGGAUGUUUUAUCGACUCUUGACCGGAGCUGUACCGUGCCUCAGCACGCCCAGCCAGCACAGCCCCCUGCUGACCUUCCCCGGCUGCCUGCUGGUACAGUUGGAGAAGUGGAGGCAGCAGAGGCAGCUGUGCAGAGUGAAGCUGUGGCUGCAGCUUUGAUGUCAUCUGCCAAAAAGCAGGGUGUGACCAGGCGGAGGCCCU